rnacentral:rRNA from 1 species
GUUGAACGCUGGCGGCAUGCCUUACACAUGCAAGUCGAACGGCAGCGCGGACUUCGGUCUGGCGGCGAGUGGCGAACGGGUGAGUAAUGCAUCGGAACGUACCUUUCAGUGGGGGAUAGCGUAGCGAAAGUUACGCUACUACCGCAUAUUCUGUGAGCCGGAAAGCAGGGGAUCGCAAGACCUUGCGCUGAUUGAGCGGCCGAUGUUAGAGUAGCUAGUUGGUGAGGUAAAGGCUCACCCAGGCGACGAUCUGUAGCGGGUCUGAGAGGAUGAGCCGCGACACUGGUACUUGGCCACGGCCCAGAUUCCUACGGGAGGCAGCAGUGGGGAAUUUUGGACAAUGGGGGCAACCCUGAUCCAGCCAUGCCGCGUGAGUGAAGAAGGCCUUCGGGUUGUAAAGCUCUUUCGGCCGGGAAGAAAUCGCAUGGGUUAAUACCCUGUGUGGAUGACGGUACCGGAAUAAGAAGCACCGGCUAACUACGUGCCAGCAGCCGCCGUAAAAC